GCUGACUGUAAGUGAGGGGAUGCUAUAUUCCUUGAAGGUGUGUUUAUGAUACCUAUAUGGGAGCCCUUUGAAGCUCCAGAGCUUUAGUAAAUCUAUUACAAGUCUGGAAGGGUGAUGAGUCAGUAGUGUUGAAAAUGCAUUGGUGUGUACAGAUGGUGAGUACGUUAUUUGUAAGUUGUAUUGGGCCACAUGGUUUGUCAUGUGCCCUGAACCAUUGAACAU